GUAGGUGGCAAGCGUUGUCCGGAAUUAUUGGGCGUAAAGCGCGCGCAGGCGGGUUCUUUAAGUCUGAUGUGAAAGCCCACGGGCUCAACCGUGGAGGGUCAUUGGAAACUGGAGAACUUGAGUACAGAAGAGGAAAGCGGAAUUCCACGUGUAGCGGUGAAAUGCGUAGAGAUGUGGAGGAACACCAGUGGCGAAGGCGGCUUUCUGGUCUGUAACUGACGCUGAGGCGCGAAAGCGUGGGGAGCAAACAGGAUUAGAUACCCUGGUAGUCCACGCCGUAAACGAUGAGUGCUAAGUGUUAGGGGGUUUCCGCCCCUUAGUGCUGCGGCUAACGCAUUAAGCACUCCGCCUGGGGAGUACGGCCGCAAAGGCUG
rnacentral:rRNA from 1 species